CAGCAGCCGCGGUAAUACGAAGGGGGCUAGCGUUGUUCGGAAUUACUGGGCGUAAAGCGCACGUAGGCGGAUCGAUCAGUCAGGGGUGAAAUCCCAGGGCUCAACCCUGGAACUGCCUUUGAUACUGUCGAUCUGGAGUAUGGAAGAGGUGAGUGGAAUUCCGAGUGUAGAGGUGAAAUUCGUAGAUAUUCGGAGGAACACCAGUGGCGAAGGCGGCUCACUGGUCCAUUACUGACGCUGAGGUGCGAGAGCGUGGGGAGCAAACAGGAUUAGAGACCCCAGUAGUCCCUGUCUCUUAUAC
rnacentral:rRNA from 1 species